CAGGGCGGUUCAGGGAGUGGACGGGUGGUGUGCAGGGUGUGGUAGAAUGAAGAAGUAUUGCCUUGUUCAUUCUCUGCCUUUCAGUUUGAUCUGUGAAGUGAUUUUUCCAGAGGCUCCGGGCCCUCAGCUCUUGUGUUCACCUCACAGUGGGCCCUGGGCCUUUGGGCCUCUCAUCAGGCCCCAGCCAGGCUCUUUGCUCAGUGGGUAGCUCCAUCUGCAGUGCUAAUCUGCCUCAACUGACUUUCUGAGGGGAAAACAGGCAGGAAGUGCUGCCACUGACCAGGCUGAAAGCAGGCAGGAAGGUGCUCCUGACUCCCUGUGGCCUGCUGGUCCAGCUCCAGGCUCAGGUGGCCUCAGGAUAGGUGACUCAGCUUCCAGCAGUCUACAUCCAACUAGGAAAGACAAAGCCAGGGUGAUGCCCAGGGGCUGGUAUGGUGGUGCCCGCCUCAGUACCAGCGCUGGAGCGGUGGAUCUCUGGUCACAGCCUUAAGAAGGUUCAGCACUACUGACAGAGAUCCAGACCAGUCAAGAUUACACAGUGAGACCCUGUCUCAAGACAAAAAUGAAAACGAAAACAAAAGAAUGAUGCGAGGGCGAGGCAUUUGGAAAAGGGAGUGUGGCUCAGGCUCUGUCUGCCAG
rnacentral:lncRNA from 1 species